CUAAAUUGUUCUUUGUGCGGAAUUCAGUCCAUCCGGAUCCGCAAAUGUCGACCCUCCCAACAUUUCUGGCUGAACUUGAGUCCGACGGUGGUUGACCACCCACGCAGACACCGCACCAUCACUUCCUUCCUGGCUAUUAAGCCCAGCCUCCUCCGCAAAUGCGUUUGGAACAGUCCAGUAUUACACAAAGACGGGAUGCCUUACUCCGCCGUUUGGGGCCAUGGCUUGUGGUUGCCGAACUUAAAUCCUUCUCGCACCCACUGAUGCCACCAUAUAUUGCAACUCUACAUGAAGAUGGAAUUUACGGGAAGCACAAGCCAGAACACCAGAAAAUCAUCCUUUUUCAGCUCGAGAUCCUUCACAAAUUUUGGCCAGCCAGCCAUCCGUAAAGCAGUAGCUACCGUCAACAUGCUCUAUCUUUACAGACCAUCAUGCUUCUCCAUAUUUGGUCUCUAUCACUAGCAGGGCACGCUCGGGCAGUAUUUGUUCAAACGUAUUCACAAAUACUGAACGUAUACGCUGCAAGAAGACGUACAACACAGCAUGGAUUCACGAGUAUGGAUUUGAAGUCGUGGACCAGGACCUUGAAGAACGAGGGUAAACCCAUAUUUGCCAUCUUGAAUGUGGGUUUGUACUACUAUCUAACUAUCUUUCGUCCAGGCUUCUCUUUUUCUUCACGAAAACGUCAAAUACUUGCUUAUAACUAUCGAGAUUAUGAUGGGAGUGCAUAACCCAAUUGACUUUUUUGUCAGACUUCUGACCGAUGCCACCAAAUUGUCAAUUAGUACUUGAUUUGCUUCCCACAUGGGCCUAGGCCCUAGUAGCAUGACAUUUCAUGUUUGACUAAGGACUGCCCGGUGCUGUCUAUGGAACAUUUGGUUGAUCAUGCUACGGACGGCCUAGUGCAGUGUAAUACAUAAAGGCGGGUAAAUGCCUACUUUGGUACUAUUUGUAUUCCUCUUUUUUGGUGAAACUUUAAAGGCA
rnacentral:lncRNA from 1 species